GAUGGAUAUUCAGAUAUCAUAAUCGACUCUUUUCUGGUAUGUUCCCCGGCUGAAGGAAGGCGUUGCCACAAUUCCUCAGUAAUAAAUGGCAUAAAUGGAUGAAGCAAUCGCAGGCCAUUGUCCAAACACACCCAAAGACAAUCUUUUGCAGAAUUCUUUGCAGAGGCAAAUGAUGGAUCAUCACCAGUAAAGUAAGGCUUGAUUGAUUCAAUGAAAACAUCACAAAACUGAUAUUGCCACCAGGAAUAGACUGUGGUGGCAGCAUCUGAAAACUCAUAUGAAUCCAUUGCUGAAACAGUUUUGGAUAUGGCUUUGUUAAGUGCCGAGAGUAUCCAUUUGCAGCUAAAAGGCAUAGUUUCCACAAGUAAAGUCGAUGGAGGGGCAUAAUCAAUUUCCAGUUUGCUCAUAGCAAAUCGAACAGCAUUCCACAAUUUGUUACACCAUUGACGAUAUCCAACUACUCUUUGAAUGUCCAAAUUUAUUUUAUCAGACUGAGCAGUGUAAGAUACAAGAGCGAAUCGGAGAGCAUCUGCACCACAUUGAGAGAUACCAUUGGGAAAGUCUUUCUUCUGUCCAGCUUUUGCAAUAACCAGCUCACUUUGAUCCAAAUUACCCUCCUCUAGUCUUUUGUGAAGGCCUUCAAGUGUUAUCCCAUUUAUUACUUCAAGAGGGUCAAUAACAUUUCCCAAAGACUUUGACAUCUUACGGCCAUGAGCAUCACGAAUCAUUGGAUGCAAAUAAACCUUCCUAAAUGGAACAGCAC
rnacentral:misc_RNA from 1 species